rnacentral:rRNA from 1 species
GAUGAACGCUGACAGAAUGCUUAACACAUGCAAGUCAACUGUGGCGGACGGGUGAGUAACGCGUAAAGAACUUGCAUCACAGAUAGGGACAACAUUUGGAAACGAAUGCUAAUACCUGAGACUGUGAGAGAGCUUUGCGUCCCAUUAGCUAGUUGGAGAGGUAACGGCUCACCAAGGCGAUGAUGGGUAGCCGGCCUGAGAGGGUGAUCGGCCACAAGUGGACUGAGACACGGCCCUGACUCCGCCGGGAGGCAGCAGUGGGGAAUAUUGGACAAUGGUCCAAAGUCUGCUCCAGCAAUUCUGUGUGCACGAUGACGUUUUCGGAAUGUAAAGUGCUUUCAGUUGGUAAGCGGUACCAACAUAAGAAGUGACGUCUAAAUACGUGCCAGCAGCCGCGGUAAUAC